AACGAACGCUGGCGGCAUGCCUAACACAUGCAAGUCGAACGAGACCUUCGGGUCUAGUGGCGCACGGGUGCGUAACGCGUGGGAACCUGCCUUUAGGUUCGGAAUAACAGUGAGAAAUUACUGCUAAUACCGGAUGAUGUCUUCGGACCAAAGAUUUAUCGCCUUUAGAUGGGCCCGCGUUGGAUUAGCUAGUUGGUGGGGUAAAGGCCUACCAAGGCGACGAUCCAUAGCUGGUCUGAGAGGAUGAUCAGCCACACUGGGACUGAGACACGGCCCAGACUCCUACGGGAGGCAGCAGUGAGGAAUUUUCCGCAAUGGGCGAAAGCCUGACGGAGCAAUGCCGCGUGAAGGAAGAAGGCCUGUGGGUCGUAAACUUCUUUUAUCAGAGAAGAAUAUUGACGGUAUCUGAUGAAUAAGCCCCGGCUAACCCUGUG
rnacentral:rRNA from 1 species